rnacentral:lncRNA from 1 species
UUGCCGAUGGGUGAUGAGUGAGGUGGACUUGAUUAGUGGUGGAUGUAGUAUACUGUCACCAAAAGCCGGGUCUAUGAAAUGCUCUCCUUUUCCUUGCCUCACGAGGCUAACCUAGUUCUUUCUGGAGGAGACGAGGUACCAACUAGUAUGCUUUAGUGGGAACAUAGUAGGACCUAAUUAUGGCAUUAUGAUAGUGAAAAGUUCCAAAUGCGCAAAGGAGGGGGAGAAAGAGAAAAAGGUAAAGGAAUUGGCCGAAAUGUGAGCUCUUUGUCCUGUUGCGUGCGUGUAAUCAAUUGCGCCCCCCAUUCUUAGCCCAUGAUUGUUUGUCUCUUCUGACUGGGUUUCAAAGACGCCACUCCACUCGCGCAAAAGGGGAGGAGGGCCGGUGGCAGUAUGAUACGCACGGUAGGAUUUUAAAAUGA